rnacentral:rRNA from 1 species
UACGGAGGGGGCUAGCGUUGUUCGGAAUUACUGGGCGUAAAGCGCACGUAGGCGGCUUUGUAAGUUAGAGGUGAAAGCCCGGGGCUCAACUCCGGAACUGCCUUUGAUACUGUCGAUCUGGAGUAUGGAAGAGGUGAGUGGAAUUCCGAGUGUAGAGGUGAAAUUCGUAGAUAUUCGGAGGAACACCAGUGGCGAAGGCGGCUCACUGGUCCAUUACUGACGCUGAGGUGCGAAAGCGUGGGGAGCAAACAGG